rnacentral:rRNA from 1 species
CCUACGGGAGGCAGCAGUGAGGAAUAUUGGUCAAUGGGCUUACGCCUGAACCAGCCAAGUCGCGUGAGGGAAGACUGCCCUAUGGGUUGUAAACCUCUUUUGUCAGGGAGCAAUUGGCGCUACGUGUAGCGUUAUCGAGAGUACCUGAAGAAAAAGCAUCGGCUAACUCCGUGCCAGCAGCCGCGGUAAUACGGAGGAUGCGAGCGUUAUCCGGAUUGAUUGGUUUAAAAGGGUACGUAGACGGAAUGCCAAGUCAGCGGUAAAAUCGGGGGGCUCAACCUCGCUCCGCCGUUGAAACUGGCGUUCUUGAGUGGGCGAGAGGUAUGCGGAAUGCGUGGUGUAGCGGUGAAAUGCAUAGAUAUCACGCAGAACUCCGAUUGCGAAGGCAGCAUACCGGCGCCCAACUGACGCUGAAGCACGAAAGCGUGGGUAUCGAACAGGAUUAGAUACCCUAGUAGUC